GGGAAGAGGAAAACGAGGCAAGAUGCUGAGAAAAAGUCAUCUCCCACUCUGCCCUUCUCUGGCAAAUCGAAGUGUCCUCUUGUGGGAGGCGGUGGGCAGCGACACUCCUGUUGGACGUCAGUGCUCUCGGGAUGGGCCCGGCCACCCCGGAGCAGAACUCACUUAGGGCCUGGUGCCCCUGUGCCCAGUUCUCAGAACGUCGGAGUGCUCAGUUCUCAGAACGCCGGAGUGCCCCAUUCAUAACCUGCAGCCCCGUUCAUAGCCUGCAGCUCCCCUCCUUCCUCUCCUCCCGGUCGUCAGGGAGCACCCCCAGCUCCCCUCCCCACUCUCAAACCCUCCUCCUCCCUCCCCUCUCUCAUUUCCCUGUUUGCAGGAUCUCCUCCUGCCCACUCUCCAGCCCAGGUCCUCCCCUCUCAUCUCCAAUUCUGCUUCAUGGGCCAUGACAGCAGGCAGGCCAUGGCCUGCUCUCAGCAGUUUGAUCGAUGGACUAAGGAGAUCACUCCUAUGAGAGUGAAAAAGUCAAAUGUGCCUGAGAUUCGGAUGGGGAGCUCUCAAAGCUACGGAUUGCAAGAGUCAACACCGCCUCAAAAGUACAAGGCCGGCCGGGUGCAGUGGCUCACACCUGUAAUCCCAGCACUUUGGGAGACUGAGGCGGGUGGAUCACCUGAGGUCAGGAGCUCAAGACCAGCCUGACCAACAUGGUGAAAUCCCGUCUCUAUUAAAAAUACAAAAAAGAUUAGCCGGGUGUGGUGGUGCAUGCUUGUAGUCCCAGCUACUCGGGAGGCUGAGGCAGGGGGAGCACUUGAACCCGGGAGGUGGAGGUUGCAGUGAGCCGAGAUUGCACCAUUGCACUCCAGCCUGGGCAACAGAGUGAGACCCUGCCUCAAAAAAAUAAAAAAAUAAAAGUACGAGGCCCGGUUUAAAUGCAGGAGGAAUCUGGUGAGCGAGUUUCACUCUGAUGCAACAGAAAAGCCAAGCCAAGCCUUGGCUGUGCCUGGUCUUGGCCGGGGAGCCACAGGCAGGGUCUGCUGGUUUCGGUGUCAGGGGCACAUCCCCAGGACCACGUCUGAGAUGGGAAGUGCCUUGAUGGAAAACUGAUACCUUUUUCUUUCCGAGUAACUUUAGAACAUGUCGCUUCAAAUAUAACUAAUAUCCUGAUUUCAGUGGACUUGCAUGGAAGGAAACGCAAGUUCAUUUGCCAGUGGGGGGUGAGGACUGGGAGAGUGGGGAGCAGGGUGGGGAAGAGGGGAGCAUUCCACAAGCCGCAAGAGCCUGGACACCUCCAGCCUUCAAUAAAUAGCAUUUGAAUUUGC
rnacentral:lncRNA from 10 species